GCCUGGGUGGCUUAGUUGGUUGAGUGUCCGACUUCAGCUCGGGUCAUGAUCUCACAGCUCGUGAGUUCGAGCCCCACGUUGGGCU
rnacentral:tRNA from 1 species